rnacentral:rRNA from 1 species
AGUGAACGUUGGCGGCGUGGAUUAGGCAUGCAAGUCGAGCGAGAACCGUAGCAAUACGGGGACAGCGGCGAAGGGACAGUAAUGUGUAGGUACCUACCUCCGGGUUCGGGGUAGCUGCGGGAAACUGCAGGUAAUACCGAAUAACGUCUCCGGACCAAAGGUGUGAUUCCACCUGGAGAGGGGCCUGCAUCCUAUUAGCUUGUUGGCGGGGUAACGGCCCACCAAGGCGACGAUGGGUAGCGGGUGUGAGAGCACGACCCGCGUCAUUGGGACUGAGACACUGCCCAGACACCUACGGGUGGCUGCAGUCGAGGAUCUUCGGCAAUGGGCGCAAGCCUGACCGAGCGACACCGCGUGCGGGAUGAAGGCCUUCGGGUUGUAAACCGCUGUCGUAGAGGAGGAAGUGCAGGGGGGUUCUCCCCUCUGUUUGACCUAUUCUAGGAGGAAGGACGGGCUAAGUUCGUGCCAGCCGCCGCGGUAA